CACGUAGGGGCCAAGCGGUUGUCCGGAUUUAUUGGGCGUAAAGAGCUCGUAGGCGGUUCAGUCAGUUGGGUGUGAAAACUCCGGGCUUAAACUCGGAGAGGCCACCCAAUACUGCUGUGACUUGAGUCCGGUUAGGGGAGUGGGGAAUUCCUGGUGUAGCGGUGAAAUGCGCAGAUAUCAGGAGGAACACCGGUGGCGAAGGCGCCACUCUGGGCCGGUACUGACACUGAGGAGCGAAAGCGUGGGUAGCAAACAGG
rnacentral:rRNA from 1 species